GGCAGAGAGAGGAAAACACGCGAGUGCACACACGGUGAUAUCUUGCGGGUGAUGAAUAUGAUAAUUGGACAAGGGACGAGAGAACCAUUCUCUGCUUUCAAUAGGACAGAAGAGCUCCUUGGCACUGGAUGCCUCCGGGUCUGGUUGAGAGAGGAAUGGUUAGGAGACUGUUCUGAGGAUACGCAGACAUCAUCCAAAGCUUCCUACAUUCAGAUGAGGACAGAGGUUGGGCCAGAGCUUUGUAAGCUUGUUACCUAAGGAUGGUUCUGACCAUGUAAGCAGAUCACAGAAGCUAUUCACAGAUCAUCAUCAGCCAGAGGUGACUUCUGUUGCUUGCAGCUCAGAAUCCUAGAUGUUUCCGGUGGCACUGAAGAGCCUCUGCUGAAGCUCUAUACCAUUUGCCAUUUACAAAGGGAAAUGAAAUAAUAACGCUGACCAUUUGUGGAGCACAUUCUGUCUGGAGGCAAAGGAUGCCAAGAUGGGAAAGCCACAUAAUGGAAGGAUCCUGGAUUUCAGAGCUGUCACUUGGAGGAGGGGCACCCAGUGAAGGUGUCUUAUCUAACCCACACCAUAUCUUCAUGAAGUGGCCAUAUGGAUUUGAUCCCUAUCCUUCAGAGGUGCUCAGCCUAAGGGAACACGGAUAGUAGAUUAAGCACUGACCAGAGCCAGCCUUGACAAUGUGCUGAUGGCAACCU
rnacentral:lncRNA from 1 species